rnacentral:rRNA from 1 species
AGUGAGCGCUGGCGGUAGGCCUAACACAUGCAAGUCGAACGGCAGCACAGUAAGAGCUUGCUCUUACGGGUGGCGAGUGGCGGACGGGUGAGGAAUACAUCGGAAUCUACUUUUUCGUGGGGGAUAACGUAGGGAAACUUACGCUAAUACCGCAUACGACCUACGGGUGAAAGCAGGGGAUCUUCGGACCUUGCGCGAUUGAAUGAGCCGAUGUCGGAUUAGCUAGUUGGCGGGGUAAAGGCCCACCAAGGCGACGAUCCGUAGCUGUUCUGAGAGGAUGAUCAGCCACACUGGAACUGAGACACGGUCCAGACUCCUACGGGAGGCAGCAGUGGGGAAUAUUGGACAAUGGGCGCAAGCCUGAUCCAGCCAUACCGCGUGGGUGAAGAAGGCCUUCGGGUUGUAAAGCCCUUUUGUUGGGAAAGAAAAGCAGCAGGUUAAUACCCCGCUGUUCUGACGGUACCCAAAGAAUAAGCACCGGCUAACUUCGUG